rnacentral:rRNA from 1 species
UACGUAGGGCGCAAGCGUUGUCCGGAAUCAUUGGGCGUAAAGAGCUCGUAGGCGGCCUGUUACGUCUGCUGUGAAAUCCCGGGGCUUAACCCCGGGCGUGCAGUGGAUACGGGCAGGCUGGAGGCAGGCAGGGGAGAACGGAAUUCCCGGUGUAGCGGUGAAAUGCGCAGAUAUCGGGAGGAACACCGGUGGCGAAGGCGGUUCUCUGGGCCUGUACUGACGCUGAGGAGCGAAAGCGUGGGGAGCGAACAGG